rnacentral:rRNA from 1 species
AGAGCGAACGCUGGCGGCAGGCCUAAUACAUGCAAGUCGAACGGAUCCUUCGGGAUUAGUGGCGGACGGGUGAGUAACACGUGGGAACGUACCCUUUGGUUCGGAACAACUCAGGGAAACUUGAGCUAAUGCCGAAUGUGCCCUUCGGGGAAAAGAUUUAUCGCCAUUGGAGCGGCCCGCGUCUGAUUAGCUAGUUGGUAGGGUAAAGGCCUACCAAGGCUACGAUCAGUAGCUGGUCUGAGAGGAUGAUCAGCCACACUGGGACUGAGACACGGCCCAGACUCCUACGGGAGGCAGCAGUAGGGAAUCUUGCGCAAUGGGCGAAAGCCUGACGCAGCCAUGCCGCGUGAAUGAUGAAGGUCUUAGGAUUGUAAAAUUCUUUCAGCGGGACGAUAAUGACGGUACCGCAGAAGAAGCCCGGCUAACUUCGCGCCAGCAGCCGC